rnacentral:rRNA from 1 species
GAUGAACGCUGGCGGUACGCUUAACACAUGCAAGUCGAACGGACUCUUCGGAGUUAGUGGCGGACGGGUGAGUAACGCGUGAGAAUCUGGCUUUGGGUUCGGGACAACCACUGGAAACGGUGGCUAAUACCGGAUGUGCCGAGAGGUAAAAGAGAAAUUGCCUGAAGAUGAGCUCGCGUCUGAUUAGCUAGUUGGUGAGGUAAAGGCUCACCAAGGCAGCGAUCAGUAGCUGGUCUGAGAGGAUGACCAGCCACACUGGGACUGAGACACGGCCCAGACUCCUACGGGAGGCAGCAGUGGGGAAUUUUCCGCAAUGGGCGAAAGCCUGACGGAGCAAUACCGCGUGAGGGAAGAAGGCUCUUGGGUUGUAAACCUCUUUUCUUAGGGAAGAACAAAAUGACGGUACCUAAGGAAUCAGCAUCGGCUAACUCCGUG